rnacentral:rRNA from 1 species
GAUGAAUGCUGGCGGCGUGCCUAACACAUGCAAGUCGAGCGGUAACAGGAGUAGUUUACUACUUGCUGACGAGCGGCGGACGGCUGAGUAACGCGUGGGAACGUGCCCCAAAGUGAGGAAUAACUGCCCGAAAGGGUAGCUAAUACCGCAUAUGAUCUUCGGAUUAAAGGAUUUAUCCGCUUUGGGAGCGGCCCGCGUCGGAUGAGGUAGUUGGUGAGGUAAUGGCUCACCAGGCCGACGAUCCGUAGCUGGUCUGAGAGGAUGAUCAGCCAGACUGGAACUGAGACACGGUCCAGACUCCUACGGGAGGCAGCAGUGAGGAAUCUUCCACAAUGGGCGAAAGCCUGAUGGAGCAACGCCGCGUGCAGGAUGAAGGCCUUCGGGUCGUAAACUGCUUUUAUAAGUUAAGAAUAUGACGGUAGCUUAUGAAUAAGCACCGGCUAACUACGUGCCAGCCGCCGCCGUAA